GAUGAACGCUAGCGGCAGGCUUAACACAUGCAAGUCGAGGGGCAGCAUAAUGGAUAGCAAUAUCUAUGGUGGCGACCGGCGCACGGGUGCGUAACGCGUAUGCAACCUACCUUUAACAGGGGGAUAACACUGAGAAAUUGGUACUAAUACCCCAUAAUAUCAUAGAAGGCAUCUUUUAUGGUUGAAAAUUCCGAUGGUUAGAGAUGGGCAUGCGUUGUAUUAGCUAGUUGGUGGGGUAACGGCUCACCAAGGCGACGAUACAUAGGGGGACUGAGAGGUUAACCCCCCACACUGGUACUGAGACACGGACCAGACUCCUACGGGAGGCAGCAGUGAGGAAUAUUGGUCAAUGGACGCAAGUCUGAACCAGCCAUGCCGCGUGCAGGAUGACGGCUCUAUGAGUUGUAAACUGCUUUUAUAAGGGAAUAAAGUGAGUCUCGUGAGGCUUUUUGCAUGUACCUUAUGAAUAAGGACCGGCUAA
rnacentral:rRNA from 1 species